GUGGGGAAUAUUGGGCAAUGGGCGAAAGCCUGACCCAGCAACGCCGCGUGAAGGAAGAAGGUUUUCGGAUCGUAAACUUCUAUCCUUGGUGAAGAUAAUGACGGUAGCCAAGAAGGAAGCCCCGGCUAACUACGUGCCAGCAGCCGCGGUAAUACGUAGGGGGCAAGCGUUGUCCGGAAUGAUUGGGCGUAAAGGGCGCGUAGGCGGCCCGGUAAGUCUGAAGUGAAAGUCCUGCUUUUAAGGUGGGAAUUGCUUUGGAUACUGUCGGGCUUGAGUGCAGGAGAGGUAAGCGGAAUUCCCGGUGUAGCGGUGGAAUGCGUAGAGAUCCGGAAGAACACCGGUGGCGAAGGCGGCCUGCUGGGCAGUAGCUGACGCUGAGGCGCGACAGCGUGGGGAGCAAACAGGAUUAGAAACCCUUGUAGUCC
rnacentral:rRNA from 1 species